CCGCAAGGUUAAAACUCAAAGAAAUUGACGGGGGCCCGCACAAGCGGUGGAGCAUGUGGUUUAAUUCGAUGCAACGCGAAAAACCUUACCUACCCUUGACAUCCUCGGAACUUGUCAGAGAUGAUUUGGUGCCUUCGGGAAUCGAGUGACAGGUGCUGCAUGGCUGUCGUCAGCUCGUGUCGUGAGAUGUUGGGUUAAGUCCCGUAACGAGCGCAACCCUCGUCCUUAGUUGCCAGCGAGUCAAGUCGGGAACUCUAAGGAGACUGCCGGUGAUAAACCGGAGGAAGGUGGGGAUGAUGUCAAGUCAUCAUGGCCCUUACGGGUAGGGCUACACACGUGCUACAAUGGGCAGUACAAAGGGUUGCCAAGCCGCGAGGUGGAGCUAAUCCCAGAAAACUGCUCGUAGUCCGGAUUGGAGUCUGCAACUCGACU
rnacentral:rRNA from 1 species